AAGCAAACCGGAAGAGAGUUGUGUUAAGUGUGCGGCAACGCAUGCAGCAAGUGCGCAGGAAGAAUCCGGGAAAGAGUGGAAGCUCGUAAUUUGAGUUUGUUGGUGCAAAACUGAAGAAACACAGCCAAUCAUUUAUUUAAGACCGCCUUGACGUUUCCCUCAGCUCAGUGACUGGUUACCCAAACUCCUACCUGAUGGCCUUGACACAUAUCUCAUUGGAGAGAGAGAUGUCACAUGGAUGCUUCUAGCUUCUGGACCUAGGAACCAUCUCUCUGAAACACAAUCAUCAAGGAAGAUAGCAUCCGUAUCUCCCAAUUUCUGUGAGAGCCCAAUGAUGAUCAAAUUGCAAAACUACCACCUGUCAUAGAGUGUACAUAUCACACGUGAGGAAGCUCAGCCUGAUCUAGUUGUCUUGAAGAUCAAAGAUACCUUGCGAGAAGCCCAGACAUUCUAAACGUUGAAGAUGAACCCAACCUGGG